CAGGUUAGGUCCUUGACUGAGGGUGUGCGAGAGGAAGCCUCACACUGAUGUUUCUCUCCCUCUCUUUCUCCCUCCCUUCCCAUCUCUCUAAAAAUAAAUAAAUGAUAUCUUAAAAGUACAUUCUCUUAGACCAGGGUUGGCAAACUUUCUUUAAGAGCCAGAUAGUAAAUAUUUUAUGUUUUGCCAGUCUUUAGAUACUCUGUUACAGUUACUUAACUCUGCCAUCUUAGAGCAAAAGCAACUGUAAACAAUGCAUAAAUAAAUCAGUGUGACAGUGCUUCAAUAAAACUUUAUUUACAGUAAUAGGAAGCUUAUGGACAAUUGCAGAUUGGCCAUAGUUUGCUGCCCCUGCUUUACAGAAUCAGUAGUGAUAUCCUUCUUUUGUUCCUGAUACUGUUAAUUUAUGACUACUGUCUUUUUUCCUGUCAGCAGUCUGAUUAGAGCUUUAUCAGUUUCACUGAUCUUUCAAACAACCAGAUUUUUGUUUCUUUGAUUUUCUUUGUCUUUUGUCUUUGAUAUUCUUUGUUCUUUGUUUGCUUCCUGUUUUAUUGAUUACUUUAAUCUCUAUCUUUUCCUUUCUCUACUUAUUUUGGGUAUAAAUUACUCUUAUAGCUUUUAUGAUGAAAGCAUAGAUCAUUGAUUUUUUUUAUUUCUAUGUUAAAGUUUGGUUUUUAUUUUUCCAGAUCUUUUGAAGGCAUAUAAUAUAUAUGUACAAACAAAUAAGAUCAUGAUAUGUAGCUUUUCACAACUUACUCUUUUAAUUUAAUAAGGCAUUGUGGGGAUGUUUCUAUGGCUAUACAGGGUGGGGCAAAAG